GCGAUACCUAUCUCAUGGUCUACUGAGCUUAUUUCUCUGCCCAGCUUUCACAUUUAGUGAAAGUGAAACUAUCAGGAAUCACAUGUUCUGUAUGGUUUCAUCACAUUAAUAUCUACUGAGAUUUAGAAAGUUAUAUUUUAUCCGCGUUCAUUAUGCUACUUAAACAAAGAUCAUAACGACGUUAACAUUCAAAAACACUCACUCAAAGAGUAACCAAACGAUGAUGUCUCUCAACUCUCAGCACAAAGCUUAGGCGCCAAUGUUCUCAAUUUCAGCACCUCUGUCCAUCCUCUUGACAAUACCAGCAAUAACCUUUCCAGGUCCUAAUUCGUAGCUCUUCUUUAGCCCUUUCGUUAGGAGUGUUUUUAUUGUGGUCUCCCAUUGAACUGGUGAAGUCACCUGGCUAGCUAAUAUUUUCUUAAUUGUGUCUGGAUCUGCAUGUGGUUGUGCAUCAACAUUUGAUAUUACUGGUAUUCUUGGAGUUCUGAUCUCUGUUGCACUCAAAGCAGCUUCUAAUCGUGAAACAGCUGGAUUCAUAAAACUUGUGUGAAAAGCUCCAGCAACAGCUAGACGUACCGUCAUUCGUGCUUUGAACGAUUUUGCUUUUGCUUCUACUGCUUCAAUUCCUUUAACACCUCCAGAGACUGCGUAAUUUCCGGGACAUAAGAAAUUUGCAAUCUGAACUUUGUUGGCUUCAUCAACUUCCUCAUUAGCUGCAUCACACAGUUUCUGAACCUUGUCGGAAUCCAGUCCGAUUAUACUAACCAUCGCACUCUUUGCAGCAUCAGCAGCAUCCUGCAUAGCUUCUCCUCUAAGCUUAACCAGCUUAAGUCCAUCCUCGAAACUGAAAGCUCCAGUAAAUGCCAGAGCAGUGUAUUCACCCAAGCUCAGACCACAUGUGACGUCAACCGAAUCAAUUAUUUGCUGACCCCCUUCACGAGCACGGAGUAUCUCUACUGCAGCUAAGCUAGUGACAUAGAUGGCUGGCUGGCUUAGAACAGUGGAGUCUAACUUCUCUUUUGGACCAUUAAUACAAAUAUCCAAAAGGUCAAACCCCAUGAUUUCAUUUGCUCUCUUGUAUAAUUCAGCUGCAGCAGGCACCUUCUGAGCCUCUGCACCCAUUCCAACAGCUUGUGCCCCCUGUCCAGGGAAGAGAAAAGCAUUGGUAGGCUUGUAAUCGGCGAACAGAGCAUCAUCGACGGCGGCAAUUUGUGAUCCAACGGAAAUGCUACUCAUGAAAACCCUAGACUUAUCCAAUUUCAAUGGACUAAAUCUUCGAAAUCCAUUCGAAGAAAUGGAAGGAAGAAUCAAUGAAGAUGAGCAGCUCAUUGUUCAGUUAGGGAGAACGAAGUAAUGGAGGAGCGACGGCGACGGCGACGGCGACGG
rnacentral:misc_RNA from 1 species